UUAGGUUUGGUAGUAUUUGGCGAA
rnacentral:miRNA from 1 species